GCAAAAGGGUGUCAUAAGAAAUUGACUUAAAUUUUUUUUGGUAAUAAAAAAAUCUUGGGGGUUUAGAGGUAUUUAAAAGGCAACUGGAAGAAAAUAUUGUUACAAGACUUAAGGUACAUCAACGCCUAUAGAAAAAGAGUGUCAUAAGAAAUUGACUAAAUUUUCUUUUUUUGGUAACUAAAAAAAAAGUUCGGAGGGUUAGGGGUUGGCGUACCUCUGCAACCUCUAUUGGUCGAACCACCCACAUCGAUCAGCCAGUCUAUAUACAUCUUAAACAAGUUCCACAAGUAUAACUACGUUUCCGAUCCAACAAUGUUGAAACUUGAACCUUUGCCUUUUUGGUCAAAGUCAACCUUUGCCUUAUUUAUCAUCAAAGUCAAAAACCCCUUACCAACUCUCGAGUGGUUAACCUGCCGGGGUCGAUCCAGCCAAUCUUUGUACGUCUUAAGUAAGUCCCACAAGUAUGACUUAAAUUCAUGAUAUAAAUGUAUAUAGGCAUAUAGACAUGUAAGUAUAAAGAGAUAUUUCUAGUGUUUGAUAAAUAUAAACAGGCUAGAAGAACAAAUAAAAGUACUUAUGUGUUUUCUUCUCUUUACAAAUAAAAAUGUUGAUCUAUUUUUUAUUAACUUAAGAUUUAAAGAAAUAAAUAAUAAUUCAACUUGAUAACAAAGGUUCAAAACUCAAUAAUUCCAUUCAAAAAUAAAUAAAUAAAAGAAAAAUACAUGUAAAAGACCUAAAAUGACCCCCCAAAAAACAAAGUCAGGCCUACAUGUGAGUUUAGGGGAAAUGGUAACUCAAUUGGCUAAUAUCAUGUUGAAAAAGUGCAUUGCAUAGGAAAGUGCAAUGGAAUAUUUAUUUUUUUUUUAAAAAAAAAGAAAUUAAAUUCAAGCACAUUGAGUGAGUGACAACAUGGUUUUUGUCACUCAAAUUAUGGAUAUGGGACCAGUGAUUGUCACCGACAAAUAGCAUUUUUGUUACUGAAACUGCAAGGAGAAUUAAUACCAACAAUCGUAUUAUAGACAAUAUGACUUGAGGUACACUUAAAAUAUUAUGCUUGGGAAAGGAACCAAAAACGAUAAAACUUCCUUCUUGUGUAAACUUUCAAGCUUUACUCAAAGUGCAAGAGAAUGCUUGGUUAGGAAGUUGAGAAUUAAUUUAUGAAUAAGAAUCUAACAAAACAAAGAAGAAAGAAAAUUAAAUGAAGCAUAAGAAGUAAGUAAAAAGAAAAAUAAUAAAAAAUAAUGGUUGUAUAUCUUUUUUUCUUUUAUCCCUGAGAUCAUCUUCAAACUAGAUUUAGAGAGAAAGAGAGAUGGCGCACAAAAGCCCGUUACAUGAAGAAGAUACAAUAGUAGAAUGUGAUUUGGCAACGACGGAAGCUGAUCUACAACUUUCAAGUGUCAUAAAAGAGCUAGAGAAUGUAAUAGCCGAGUCAGAGCAAGUUUUUGGUCGACCAACAUUACUAAAACGUAAAGUAGAUGAAUGGGCUAACAAGCUCAGAAACUUGAGGAGGCAUUCCAGAGAGUUAUUUGCCAGACAACAAAAUUUGGGCCACAAUUUUAUCUGGGAAAAACCUCAUUACGGUUUUGAGGAACAAGUUCUUCGACUUGCUUACUCUGUUGAAGCCGCCACAUUUUCCUUCCUCUACAGAAGAGAAAUGCGAGACAGGAGAGAACAGCAGCAGGGUCGACGUCCAUUUACUGGUAUUCUUCUUCAACUCUUUAACGGGAUUUCAAAGCAUUUCGUCAAAGAAAUGGAGAAGGCCGUGAAUCGCUUCACUUCUGCGACCAUUGUCGAUGAUUCUACAUCUAUUCGCGAAAUCCAACGCAACCUCUCUGCCGGCACAGAUACACUGCAGCCGCAAUUAUACUAUGUUCGUUUUCAAGAAGAAGAACCGCCCAAAGUGUAUAAUUUGUGGGGUUACGUAUCAAUUCUGGGUGCUAAUGCAGAUGCAACAGCAGAUGUUGCCGGAAAGAUAUACUCACAAGCUCGAAAACAGAUGGAGUUUCAAAUCUGUGCUCGGGUUAAUUUGAGCCCAAAAUAUGACAACCACGACGACGUUAUCAAAGAUAUCUACACUACCAUAGUCAAACAACAGGAUUCGUCACUGGUGUCUACUCGUUUGGGAGUAAAGAUUGACAUGGUCCAUAGCCUGGCUUUCGAACAGUUGUGUGAGAAAGUGAAGAAGUGGUUGCAAAGCUGCUCGUUCAUCAUAUUCCUGGAUCAUGAAUUUCGGGAUUUCUGGUCGAAAAUCGAAUCCAGCAUCGAAACGCUGUUUCCAAUCGACACAGGACAGAUUAGUACGGUGAUAUUCAGAACCUGUGAUAUACAAGCAUCAGAGUUUACAAGGGUUAUUGAAGUGGUUGAACCAGCUAUAAGUUCUCAAGAUGGUUGGGUAUUGCUCGAUAAGUCCUUGAAAAAGGGUGGGAUUCAAUUAGAUGCUUUGAUUAACCAAACAACAGAGAAAGAUGUUCUCGACAAAAUGAUCAGGAAAAUGUGUGAAGAUUUUCCUCUAGCAGUCACUAUGUUGCCUCGCCUCAACUUUACCAACAAGCUAAGGUACGACGAAUCAAUUAGCUCUACACUUCCAAGGUCGAUAAUCUUUGAUUUCCUAUAUCAAACGCUGGUUCCAAGGAUAAGACUUUGUUAUCUUUAUAUGGGGAUUUUCCCCAAAGAAUUUGAUAUUCCGGUUAGAAGAAUAUUCAUACUAUGGAGUGUAGAGCGUCUGGUUAUACAGGAUUUGGAUCUUUCAAAGACUCCUGAAGAUUUGGCACUGAGUUAUCUAAAGGAACUUGAAAAAAGGGAAAUGAUAUCUAUAAAGAUGAAAAACGGACGCCCUAAGACGUGCCGUGUAUCAUCACAUAUGCACAGACUCAUUUCAAGAAAGGCGAUGGAUCUUGGAAUUUUUUACGUCCAUACCUCGAAGGACAAUGAGCCGAAGUUCAGUGUUGGACGGCUUGCAGAACAUGGUGACACGAUCAAGAGCCACAACUUUUUAGAUGAUAAUUUCACACAGCGCCUUCAUGCUUACAUAUCUUUAAUCAGGAAGCAGAAUACACCAGCAUGGCAGGUAGGUGUUUUUCUUAACAAACUUGUUGCCAAAAGAAGGUUUGGAUUGCUGAGAGUGCUUGAUCUAGAAAACGUUUACAAACCAUCACUACCUGCAGAAACAAUUAGAAAACUCGUCUUGCUGACAUACUUAGGCUUGAGGAGGACUUUUUUGGAUUCACUUCCUGAUUCAGUUGGUACCCUGCAAUACUUGGAGAUUUUAGAUAUGAAACACACUAAUAUUAUCGCUUUGCCUACCACCAUUUGGAAGGCAGAGAACCUUAAACAUAUCUAUAUGAAUCAAGUCCAGUUUGAUAUGUCCAUCCAGGAAGGCUUUCCUCUUUCUACCAGUUUAACCAACCUGCAGACCUUGUGGGGGCUGUCUAUAGGUAGCAACAUAGAAUUGGUGAAUUGGUUGAGCAAGUUGCUUAGCCUCAGAAAAUUGAGUUUGACAUUUCCUCCUGAAAAAGCAGAGGAAAUAGCUGACACGGUUUCCAAACUCACCAAUCUUCAAUCCUUGAGAUUGAGAUCCAUUGAUGAUUCAGCCCAACCUCCAAAACUCAGGCUCCCAGUCAUGACAGGGCUUCAGGAGCUCUCCCAAUUGUAUUUGGUGGGAGAUUUAUCAUAUCUUAAUGAAACUCCUAAUGAGUUUAGCUUUCCACCCAACUUGAAAGUCCUCACUUUGACAGGGUCUCAUCUAAUUGGGGAUUACCCCAUAAGAGCUCUGGGAAAGCUGCCCAAACUUACCAUCCUAAAGUUUUAUGGCCAUUCGUAUUUAGGAUGUAGAAUUAUCAUCCAACUGAAUGAAUUCCAACAAUUGGAAGAGAUGAAACUGUGGAAUCUGGUGGAACUGGAGAAAUUGGAAAUUCAAAAAGGAGCAAUGUCCAAUAAUCUUAAAGAAUUAGACAUCAGAUCCUGUCCUAAUAUGAAUUAUAUCAAAGGACUGAAGCACUUGGCUGGUGGCCUGCUAAGAAUACGAAAAAUGCCUGCAGAUUUUGAAAAUGAAGUUAAAAGUGAAGUGGACAAAGAUAAUUUAUCUGUUAAAGUACAAGUUGAUAAAUCAGAGGACCAGCAUGAGUUGGAAAAUGCGACAAACUCAUCAGAGAGGUAAAGAAGAACACAUCGACAGAAGUUGGAGCCUGGAGGGAAUAUUAAUUAUGGAUUUGAGUUUCUAAUUUCUAUGUAUUUUUUUUAUUUUUUUUUUCCCCAACCUAUGUGUGAAUGAGUUGUGUUAUGAUUUAUUGUAUUCUUGUAAUAUAUUUUCUGUUGUAUUGUUGUGAAAGUGUGAGGCAUAAUUAAAUUCGGAAAAGACAAAAAUAAGGUAAAAGUCCGGUGUGAAAUGUGUGCUUCUAUGAAUAACUCUAUAGUAUGUUGUACUUAAUGAUUAUUACCAACAAAUAAAUGAUGUACUUAAUGAUUGGGCUUGCUGGUUCAAUUUAUGUUUUGCAUAAUAUCUCAAACCUCAGGGGUGGUUUCUUCAGAUACCCUCUUUUUGGCACCAACAGGCUCAGAUUAGUUUCCCGCAGGUUCUACCCAUCAAGCUCUGCUCUCCCGAGUCGAUCCUGAGUGUCACUGGCUCGACGGAGGAGAAGGUCUGGCCACCAGACCACUCAUACAACCGACAACUGCCCAUUCGAUGUCGGAGGCGCCUUGGAACACCGGAUUUCGUCGAUCCCUUUUCCAGAUCUAUCAUUAACUCAAAGAAAUUUCCUCGAUUUAUACAAAAUCGCUCCAGGGCCACCAUAAUCAGUUGAAAAUGUGACACGGACGGCAAAAGUGAAGAACACGUGACAGAGCUUGGAGGAAUAGAAAAUGAAAAAAUAAAAAUAAAAAGUGUUUCAAUAUUACAUAUAUCUUUUUUUCUAAAUUUAAAAUUUGGAUUUGAUUUUAAUGUAUUUGUGACGUUAUUAUUAAGGAGUAGAUCCAUGAUCUACUAGCGCUUUGUAAUAUAUUUACUGAUGUUUAAUUUUUUUUUUUUUUUGGGGGAAUUAAUGAUUUGUAUUGUUGUGUGAGUGUGAGUUGUAUUAAAUUUGAAAAAAGGAAAAUUGAAGAAUAAAGAUUAUUAAACUCCGGUGUCAAAUGUGAUUCU